AUUUGUCUGGUUAAUUCCGAUAACGAACGAGACCUUAACCUGCUAACUAGAUUCAUUUGUAUUACUUUUGCAAUCUUCUUAGAGGGACUAUGUAAAACAAAUACAUGGAAGUUUGAGGCAAUAACAGGUCAGUGAUGCCCUUAUAUGUCCUGGGCUGCACGCGUGCUACACUGAUGCAUACAACAAGUGCCUAACCAGACAUGGUAUGGCAAUCUCGAAUAUGCAUCGUGAUGGGGAUAGAUCUUUGCAAUUAUAGAUCUUGAACGAGGAAUUCCUAGUAAGUGCAAGUCAUCAUCUUGCAUUGAUUAUGUCCCUGCCCUUUGUACACACCGCCCGUCGCUCCUACCGAUACCGGGUGAUCCGGUGAACCUUUUGGACUCUUUACUGGGAAAGAUAAGUAAACCAUAUCACCUAGAGGAAGGAGAAGUCGUAACAAGGUUUCCGUAGGUGAACCUGCRGAAGGAUCA
rnacentral:rRNA from 1 species